rfam:Camelus ferus unplaced genomic scaffold scaffold57, whole genome shotgun sequence.
AUUAUAGUGUAAGUAUAUCCUAUGCAAUAUUUGGGGCAUAUUUAUACUAAAA